GCAGGUGCAGGUGGAGACGGAACCCUAGACACUGCUCAUCCCAAUCAGGCCCUUUCCAGGCCUGUCCCAUUCCAAUCGGGCAUCAGAUGUGGCAUUGAUCAUCAUCUACUUAACAAACGAGGCUCCCCUUUCAAUGCACUUGGGUCUCCUCUGGGCCAACCUUGGUUCUGAGAUAGCAGGUGCUGAAAUACUGCUGAAUCCUCAAAGCCAGACUAGCCAGUGCCUGGCACCUGAUGGGAAUAUGAUUUCAACGAACAGAAAUGAAGAGACCACCCAGAAAUACAGACCCAGCCUUUCAUUCUCUUAUAUUCCUUAUGUCCAACAUUUAUUGGGCCCUUACCAUGUGCUCCAUAUGGUGCUGGGUCCUGGGAGUUGGAGUUACAAACAACUAAGAUGACAGACUUUGCUCCAAGUAGGGAUUCUUGGCUCUCAGCCCCAUGGAGAAAGUCUCCUUAUCACCUUUCUGCACAGGGGAGGAAAUCGAGAUCAAAAAAGUUAAGAGACUGAGUUAAGGCCACUCCAUCAGCUGCCCCAAAGCCCCUGUGUCUGCUCUGGCUGGCACUCUGAGGUCCCACUGCUGACAAGAGUGGAGUAAGAGGAAAAAGAGGUGAUGUGCAAUUGUGUGAGGAGUUCUUAC
rnacentral:lncRNA from 10 species